rnacentral:lncRNA from 1 species
AUGAGGCAGCAGAGUCGCCUGAGCGCACAGCUGCGAGAGGUAUGUGAGCUGGACUCAGCCUCUCCCUCCCACGGUGCCCAUGCAGGAACAGAGAAGUCGGGCCCCUCCAGUUGGGCAGCACAUGAGUGGCUGAGCUGUCCCUUUUGCCUGAGGCCGCAGCCUCCAAGUCUGUCAUCUGAGAGAGUUGGGCUACGAGGUCCCUCAGCCGCAUGUCGUCCUCCUCCUCUGGAGCCCAGAGCCCGGCCCAGAGGAAGGAGAUUAACCUUGAGAAAAGGACUGAGCCAGUCUUGCCGGCUGGAGCCCCCAUCAUGGUUGGCCAGCAGAAUACUCAAGGCCGAGAAGAAAGAGUUAUCAUCAAGUUCAGGCGUAAGUGUCUGGGCUGAUGGUGACUGAAUCCUAGGGGUUUAGUAAAGCUUCAGGCUAAGCGUGGUCUUGGGGAGUCAGACAGCUGGCGCUGGGAUCCCAGCCCCACCACUGACCAGUCCUGUGACUGGGGAGAUUCCCUU